UACACACCGCCCGUCACAUCACGAAAGUAGGUUGUACUAGAAGUAGCUGGGCCAACUCGCAAGAGGGGUAGGUUACCACGGUAUGAUUUAUGAUUGGGGUG
rnacentral:rRNA from 1 species